rnacentral:rRNA from 1 species
CCUACGGGCGGCAGCAGUGAGGGAUAUUGCACAAUGGGCGAGACUCUGAUCCAGCGAAGCCGCGUGAGGGAAGACGGUCUUCCGGUUUGAAACCUCUGUCUUUGGGGGAGCAAAUGACGGUACCCAAGGGCGAAGCUCCGGCUAACUACGUACCAGCAGCCGCUGUAUUACGUAGGGAGCGAGCGUUAUCCGGAAUUACUGGGUGUAAAGGGAGCGUAGGCGGGAGAGAAAGUUGAAUGUAAAAUUUACCGGCUUAACCGGUAGGUGCGGUUAAAACUUCUUGUCUUGAGUGAACGAGAGGUAUGCGGAAUGCGUAGGGUAGCGGUGAAAUGCGUAGAUAUCAGGAGGAACACCAGUGGCGAAGGCGGCAUGCUGGGGCCCAACUGACGCUGAGGCACGAAAGCGUGGGUAUCGAACAGGAUUAGAUACCCGAGUAGUC